CGUCGCGUGGAGGAUGAAGGCCUUCGGGUCGUAAACUCCUUUUGUCAGGGAAGAAAACCCUGAGGUUAAUAGCCUUGGGGCUUGACGGUACCUGACGAAUAAGCCACGGCUAACUCCGUGCCAGCAGCCGCGGUAAUACGGAGGUGGCUAGCGUUACUCGGUAUUACUGGGUGUAAAGGGUCCGCAGGCGGCUAAGUAAGUAAGAGGUGAAAUCCUCCGGCUUAACCGGAGAACUGCCUCUUAUACUGCUUAGAUAGAGGGCAAGAGAGGAGAGCGGAACUGCCGGUGUAAGGGUGAAAUCUGUGGAUAUCGGCAGGAACACCAGUGGCGAAGGCGGCUCUCUGGCUUGCUCCUGACGCUCAGGGACGAAAGCUAGGGGAGCAAACAGGAUUAGAUACCCUGGUAGUC
rnacentral:rRNA from 1 species